rnacentral:rRNA from 1 species
GACGAACGCUGGCGGCGUGCCUAAUACAUGCAAGUCGAACGCUUCUUUCCUCCCGAGUGCUUGCACUCGAUUGGAAAGAGGAGAGGCGAACGGGUGAGUAACACGUGGGUAACCUACCCAUCAGAGGGGGAUAACACUUGGAAACAGGUGCUAAUACCGCAUAACAGUUUAUGCCGCAUGGCAUAAGAGUGAAAGGCGCUUUCGGGUGUCGCUGAUGGAUGGACCCGCGGUGCAUUAGCUAGUUGGUGAGGUAACGGCUCACCAAGGCCACGAUGCAUAGCCGACCUGAGAGGGUGAUCGGCCACACUGGGACUGAGACACGGCCCAGACUCCUACGGGAGGCAGCAGUAGGGAAUCUUCGGCAAUGGACGAAAGUCUGACCGAGCAACGCCGCGUGAGUGAAGAAGGUUUUCGGAUCGUAAAACUCUGUUGUUAGAGAAGAACAAGGACGUUAGUAACUGAACGUCCCCUGACGGUAUCUAACCAGAAAGCCACGGCUAACUACGUGCCAGCCGCCGCCGUAA